UUGGAGGGCAAGUCUGGUGCCAGCAGCCGCGGUAAUUCCAGCUCCAAUAGCGUAUAUUAAAGUUGUUGCAGUUAAAAAGCUCGUAGUUGAAUUUCGAGACCGGUUUACUGGUCGUGCUUUUGUACGUACUGGUAUUAUUGGUUUCUCCUUUCUGACGAACUAUAAUGCCAUUAAUUUGGUGUUAUAGGGAAUCAGGACUGUUACUUUGAAAAAUUAGAGUGUUUAAAGCAGGCUCACGCUUGAAUACAUUAGCAUGGAAUAACGGAAUAGGACGUUUGAUUCUAUUUUGUUGGUUUCUAGGAUCGACGUAAUGAUUAAUAGGGAUAGUUGGGGGCAUUAGUAUUCAAUUGUCAGAGGUGAAAUUCUUGGAUUUAUUGAAGACUAACUACUGCGAAAGCAUUUGCCAAGGAUGUUUUCAUUAAUCAAGAACGAAAGUUAGGGGAUCGAAGACGAUCAGAUACCGUCGUAGUCUUAACCAUAAACUAUGCCGACUAGGGAUCGGAUGAUGUUAAUUUUUUAAUGACUCAUUCGGCGCCUUACGGGAAACCAAAGU
rnacentral:rRNA from 1 species